rfam:Dipodomys ordii ctg_broad_rename0001290, whole genome shotgun sequence.
GGGAAGGUAGCUCAGUGGUAGAGAGCUUGCCUUGCAUGCAUGAGGCCCUGGGUUCAAUUCCUCAGCACCA